GGGUCAGGGUCAUUCAUAUCAAGCUUGUGUCCGAUUCUGUAGAAAGCAGGGAACCGCAGCCACCCCAAGCUACAAUCAAGGUCUGCUUCAACGUGGUUACUCCCUAAAGAGAGAGGCCAGACCACUGCGAGUCCUGAGAGAGGGCACGGCCAGACCCAACAGAUGGAAGCUGCGAGGAGACCAAUUUAGACGUGAUUGGGGAGCUGUGGCGGAGGUUGACUUUGAUGGCCGCUGUGAAAAUGCUUUGCACAGUAAGGGUGACAAGAGCUAACAAUUACUGACUCCCAGCUGAGAAGAUGAAGGGGUUUUCCACGUGCAGUCUCAUUUCAUCCUUACAUCAACUGUCUCUGGUGCCAGUCAAGAAAAGCUACAACGUCCAGUGGGAUGUAAACAUCAACGCUGGAUUUUCAUACCGCCUCAGAGAAUGGCCUCGUUCUGGAUAUCAGCAUUGCCAAAGUAGAUGCCAUUGUAUUAGAGAUUAUAAUUGGCAAGGUGGGCGCUUAAUAUUCAGGAUUUUUUUCUCCCUACCACCAGUAACAGAGCAGUUAGGAAACAUUAGACAUGCCUAGUACCAAAUCCCAAUCAUCUACUCUGAAGGAGUGGGAAAGGUCUAACCACUAAUGUAGAGCUGAUAAAACACCUUUUAAUGCCUUUGAUAGUACAGAAGCUGUGUCAUUCCACUGCUCCUGCCCAGCAGCCCAGACCCUGACCUUGUGGAAGUGGAAGAAGAAUCUCAAAUUCUGUCCUCAGGCAGAGCAGGCUGUCCAAAGUGAAUAUUGGUGAACACCCUUCCGGUCAGCAAAGGAGGAGGGCGGGACAUGGAAGGACGGACUAUAGGGGAAUCUUCUGAUAAAGGAAGACCGCUUCGGGGAACAAACACACCCCCAAAUGAGAAGGCAUCAAUAUACCAGAGAAACCCGCGCAGUCUGCACAGACACGGAGUUCUUACGGAUCGUCAGGUCCUCUGAGGUUGCGGCUGGGCUUUAAUGCUGGCCUUACCCUCAGUCUCCUGUAUUUCAUCACUGUAUCCCCACCUCCGUGGUCACAGCGGAACCUUCAAUAGCCUCAUGCCCACCGGCGAGCUUUUUGAGGAGCACCGAAGUGUGAGGAACUCUUUCGCAAAUUGUGUUCAUUCUUCCACAGACCAGGCCCAGGUAUUGACCUGGGACUUGCGUUCUCCUCUGUGUGUGGAUUUUCCUGACUGCAGACAAUUGUCCUUGGUAGGACCUCAGUGACAGCUGAUUCAGGAUCGGUGAUGAGCUGGUCGUAGCUGACGCAGGCCGAAAAGAAUUCCUAUAGUAAAUGUGAGCGUUCAUGCAGUUUCUCCAGAUGGGGCUUGGAGAGUUUGUUUCAUUAGUAGGUUUUUAAGACUGUCUUUGCUCUUCAUGAACGCUGGCAUGUCAUUUCCUCUUCAGACAAAACUUCUGCCUCUGGUGCAUGUAGCUCUAUCGUGGGGUAUUGGGGGAAGCAGGCUAGCUUCAGGUGGAGGCUUCUGGCAUGUCAUUUCGCACCUCUGUGUCCUGAUAUGUCUUCUUUUACUGGUUUAUUUUGAUCAGUUUAUCUUGAGCAAGUGUUCCUCACUAAAGGCAGAUGGAUAGAGCAUUUUCCCCCAGAAGAGGCAGCAGCCACGUCUCCUCUGGGGAGGAAUCCAUGAUCGGUCUGGUUUGGAGGGCACCAUCAAGCACUCUACCCCAGGGGCCAGCCAGCAAGUGUGGGCAUCUGCGGGGGCCCUCUUCUGAUCCAGGCCCCGUGUGAGGGAGUGAUCUGAAGAACUUCUGUCUGCUGGAGAGUUCAGUUCCAACACAAGAGGACAACGACAGCAAGGAAACCUCAACUAUUCUGCAGCUCAGCUGGCACCAACCGGUACUGGAAUAGAACCCGAAUCCUCUGCUGCUGUCCAGUGACAGACACCAGGAAAGUGGAAUGUUCUCUAGGAUAAUGACAGGCUAGUUUUAGAGGUAAGAUGACAAAAUCUAAAUGUUGACAAGUUCAAGCCAGAAGGACUUGGGCCUACCUGUGUUCAUUUAGGACUGGGAUGUGGCUAUGCUUUCAAACUUGGUCACCCCCAUGGUUUCCCAAAGGGUUGAUGUGGGCUGUGACAAGAAAGGAUCCAAGGGACUCAAGAGUUUUGACUUGAGGAACUAAAAACUGUUGCUCUGAACUGAGAUCUUAAAAAACUAACAUAUGGUUAGAAUGGAUUUUGGCAUAGAGAUUUAAAAAUUCACUUUGAGACAUGCUAAGUAUGGAAUGUUUUAAAGGGGGAUAUUUUUGCUAAACUGGAUAAAAAUUUUGCAGCACCAAGAUUUGAUGGGUUCAACUAUCAUUACUCUUAGUUGAUGUAAAAAUCCAGCAUCUCCAGGAUAAAGAUAAUUGGAGCUCUAUUAAGAUUAAUUGGAUAUACAGUAAAUGGAUUGGUAAAGAGAUGAAGGGAAGAUUGCUGUCUGAUGGAAAAAGCCAAAUCCUAAUGAUCAUAUAUGUAUUCCUUAUAUAUUUGUAUGCUAAUUGGGUUGAACAUACAUUAUGGAGGGAAAGACUGUAAAAAAAAAAAAAAAAAAAGGGUUGACGUGACCUUUUCUCUGUCUCUGUGGAAAUCUGACCUUAGGUUAACUUUCUGGCUUCUUGCUUCUGGGAACCUGGUAAGAGAAUAUGUUAGUUGUACUACUGGGGAGCAUUGUUUUUAGUAAAAGGUAGAUCUUAUGAUGCAGAUCUAUGCUUUCAAACCAUGAGUUUUGUAACCUUCUCCUCCUGGAACAGAAAACCCUUGCCUCCACAUAAUGGGCAGUGCAGUGUGUGGAUAUGUGGUUCUGGAUCUAUUGGGUACAGAAAGACCAAAGAAAAAAUAAUUCCUCAGACUCAUCCCUCUGUAUGAAUUACGGAGGAAGAAGACCCAACGUCAGAGAAACACCUGAGACUGCUCCAUGGUGACCUCUUUGAAAUCUCCGCAUAAUGAUUUUACAUGGUGUCCAAAAGAUGAGCGAGUUACUGUUAUUUGUUGUUGUUAUCUGUUGCUUGUCAAGCAAGCUUUUGAUAUUUGUAAAUUCUUACGUUCCUUUAAAUAGAGGUUGCUAAUGGCACACAAGUGUCCUGAGAUUUGUUUGUUUGUGAACCUUUUGGUUAUAACUAUGGGCAAAAUGUCAUGGAGUGAUGUUAAGUUGCUAAGCUGACAUGGAGGGUGUUAAAUUUUUAUGUUCAGUAUAUUUUGUGUUUAUUAUAUGCAUCACUAUAUAAUACUUCUUGAACUAUUGUAUUUCAAGAGUUGUAGUGUUAGAGAUUGUGUAACUGACAAUAUAUUUGAGAAUGGGAUAACUGUGGCUUGCUUGUUAGAACUGGCAGGUUACUUUGUAACUAUUUCCAAAACAUCUGUUAUUUAAACUGAAGCAAUAAGUCACUCCUUUAAAAUAAAAAGCAAUGGGGCAUCUGGGUGGCUCAGAUCUGGGUGGCUUAAGCAUCUGACUCUUGAUUUCAACUCAGGUCAUGAUCUCACAGUUUGUGGGUUCGAGCCCCAC